rnacentral:tRNA from 1 species
AGGUCAGCGGCUAUUCAGGCCGCUUCACACGCGGAAGGUCGCUGGUUCGAUCCCAGCCGGGACCACCA